GGGAAAUAAAACGAAGAAUUCAGUCGGUCAGAAGAGGAAUUCGUCGGAUAAUUGAGGAAAUAUAUAAUAGAAAGGGGAACAACUUCCACAAUUUUGUGAUGUCAUCGGGCACUGGUUCACGUCUGAAAACGAAUACCAAGUGACAUCGAUGGCAAAGAAUUAUAUACAUGAGAUACAUCAUCAAUAUUUAUCAACUUUUAUGACAAAAAGAGGAGCUUAUUAAUUUUCCUGUUGACUUCAUCAGAAUAAACAAUGAAAUUUUUCUUUUAACCAGAGUUUGAUAGCAAGUUUUCUUCACUAUCUGGAAUGUUUUACCAGUUAAUUCUGCAUUCUAUGUAGUUAAUCUUUGAGAAAUUUGCAAAGAAUGUUUUCUAACGUCUUCAGAUAUCAACAAAGAUCAUAGUUGUUGGAAAUAUAGCGGAAAAGAUUUUUUUUUGUUAAGAAGUGAAACAUUUCUGUAUUGUGGUGAAGAAAAAAAAA